GUGCCAGCCGCCGCGGUAAUACCGGCAGCCCGAGUGAUGGCCGAUCUUAUUGGGCCUAAAGCGUCCGUAGCUGGCUGAACAAGUCCGUUGGGAAAUCUGUCCGCUUAACGGGCAGGCGUCCAGCGGAAACUGUUCAGCUUGGGACCGGAAGACCUGAGGGGUACGUCUGGGGUAGGAGUGAAAUCCCGUAAUCCUGGACGGACCGCCGAUGGCGAAAGCACGUCGCGAGAACGGAUCCGACAGUGAGGGACGAAAGCCAGGGUCUCGAACCGGAUUAGAAACCCUUGUAGUCC
rnacentral:rRNA from 1 species